rnacentral:rRNA from 1 species
UACGUAGGUGGCAAGCGUUGUCCGGAUUUAUUGGGUUUAAAGGGUGCGUAGGCGGUUCUUUAAGGCAGUGGUGAAAUCCGGCAGCUCAACUGUCGAUGUGCCAUUGAUACUGCAGAACUUGAGUACAGACGAGGUAGGCGGAAUUGACGGUGUAGCGGUGAAAUGCUUAGAUAUCGUCAAGAACACCGAUAGCGAAGGCAGCUUACUGGGCUGUAACUGACGCUGAGGCACGAAAGUGUGGGGAUCAAACAGG